GAUACCAGAAAAUGGUUUCAGUUCCACGGCUAUUGCGACAGAAGAGACCGCGGGCCCUGCAGUUUCAUCUGAAGCUUUCACCUCAGGCAUCUCCCUGUCAUGGACCAAAGAAACGGGCAGACAAAGAUGAUCCAGGAACAG